GACAGAGGGUGCAAACGUUGUUCGGAAUUACUGGGCGUAAAGCGCGUGUAGGCGGUUAUGCAAGUCGGAUGUGAAAGCCCUCGGCUUAACUGAGGAAGUGCAUCCGAAACUGCAUAGCUUGAGUACCAAAGAGGAUCGCGGAAUUCCCGGUGUAGAGGUGAAAUUCGUAGAUAUCGGGAGGAACACCAGCGGCGAAGGCGGCGAUCUGGGUGGAAACUGACGCUGAGGCGCGAAAGUGUGGGGAGCAAACAGG
rnacentral:rRNA from 1 species